GGGGCCAUAGCUCAGCUGGUUAGAGCAGCGUGCUCAUAACUCGAAGGUCGGAGGUUCAAGUCCUCCUGGCCCCACCA
rnacentral:tRNA from 1 species